GAUGAACGCUGGCGGCGUGCUUAACACAUGCAAGUCGACCGAUGAAGCCCAGCUUGCUGGGUGGAUUAGUGGCGAACGGGUGAGUAACACGUGAGUAACCUGCCCUUAACUCUGGGAUAAGCCUGGGAAACUGGGUCUAAUACCGGAUAGGAGCGUCCACCGCAUGGUGGGUGUUGGAAAGAUUUAUCGGUUUUGGAUGGACUCGCGGCCUAUCAGCUUGUUGGUGAGGUAAUGGCUCACCAAGGCGACGACGGGUAGCCGGCCUGAGAGGGUGACCGGCCACACUGGGACUGAGACACGGCCCAGACUCCUACGGGAGGCAGCAGUGGGGAAUAUUGCACAAUGGGCGCAAGCCUGAUGCAGCGACGCCGCGUGAGGGAUGACGGCCUUCGGGUUGUAAACCUCUUUCAGUAGGGAAGAAGCGAAAGUGACGGUACCUGCAGAAGAAGCACCGGCUAACUACGUG
rnacentral:rRNA from 1 species